GCCACGGAGCCUGCAGCACAGCCAGACACGAAGGAGUGUGCGAACGAGGCCUUCCCCGAGAGCUCGUCGACUCCGAGGUUGUUGAGGCCACUCAACUCUCCAGCAGCCCCCAGGGAGGAUGACCUCCAAACUGCCCAGCCCAGCGGCACGCACGGUGUGGGGGUUACGGUAAAACUGCAAGGAGAGGAGCUACUUGUUCAGAACAUUACAGUGCCCUCCCAGUAAGGGCGUGUUUGGGGACGCUCAUCUUUAAGAAGCCCCUUCGGAUAUGUUCAAAUGUCAAAACGUAAAGGUGACUUAGGGUUUUGGGACACAUCCCCAGUAGUGUCAGCUUCUGUUCUUCCCUAAAUCUCACCCCGAUCUUUCUCCUGGUUGUUUUAUGAAGAAGCUCCUGGUCUGGGAUAAUCUUUGUGUAAGAUGUUACCUACAAGGGUUAACAAGUAAAUGUCAAAAGAUAA